GAAGAAAUACUUGUGUAUAGUAAUGCUAGAAAUGAAACAGAUCGUAUCAAACUGUUAUUUUUAGGGAAUAUUUUUGUCUAAAUUCAUUAAUUUACUUACAGGAAUUCCCAACUAAACAAAGAAUAAGUACUUUCAUGUAUAUGACGCUCCUUAAAACAACACAUUAAUACCUAAUUAAUUUGUUUUCAGAAUAAAUUAAGAUUGAAAUCUUAAAGUACGAUGCAAAAGGCAAAUGGUGUAGAGAUUCUAGUGGCCCAAGAAUUGGAUUUAAAUUAUUUCGACGAUUCGUUGGGCACGAGGAGUUACGUUCACAUGGAAAGGCUGAUUACCAUCAUAUAAAUGAAGAUGAAAUGAGCCACGACACAACCUGACGACAUCGGCAAAUAUUUUCUCUGAGGCUAUGAAAUAUGAAAAAAAAUCCAAGAAAUCCGAAAAAAGUACAAGAAAAAAUCACAAUAAAGAAGAAAACAUCAUUACCAAGAAACCGUAUUCAAAAGUUCUACCAAAAAGGCUGAGGACUGGAAUGUUCCCGUUUGAGUUCCACAUUUCUAUCUCUGUAUAUAGCAAGUACUUUCAUUUUAUGGAAAUGUUUCCAUAGUGUGGAUCUAGGUUUCAACUCAUCUAUCAUCUGAGAAUGAAGCUUGUUUAUAGCAAUUAUAAUUUUAGAUUAGUGCCGAAGUAAUUUUUCCUUAAAUUUUAAUCUGUACUGUAAUCACUAAAUGUGUUUCCUAAAAAAAUAUGUUGCAUAUAACUUUUAAGUACCUCCACUGAAUAGUUGAAGGUUAAAAAAAUCGACAAUGGGUCGAAACCAUUUAUUAACAACCAAACUUAUAUUAAAUUAACCACAUAACUUAAAGGUACACAAAGUAGUUUUAUUUGGAAAGUUAUAUUAUAUAUAAAUAUUUG